CGCGGAGUGGAGCAGUGGUAGCUCGCCAGGCUCAUAACCUGGAGGUCAGUGGUUCGAUCCCGCUCUCCGCAACUA
rnacentral:tRNA from 1 species